UACGUAGGCGGCAAGCGUUGUCCGGAUUUAUUGGGUUUAAAGGGUGCGUAGGCGGUCUUCUAAGUCAGUUGUGAAAUACUUCAGCUUAACUGGAGAGGUGCAAUUGAUACUGGAAGACUUGAGUACUGAUGAGGUAGGCGGAAUGGACGGUGUAGCGGUGAAAUGCUUAGAUAUCGUCCAGAACACCGAUAGCGAAGGCAGCUUACUAAGGAGUAACUGACGCUGAUGCACGAAAGUGUGGGGAUCAAACAGG
rnacentral:rRNA from 1 species